AGACCAUUUUACCUGGCCGUGUUGUUAGUGACUGUUGCCUUCGUCAGUCAGCUAACUACACUGCCUGGUAACAAGGCUGG